UUCUGUAUAUGGCCAAACCCCAUAAAAGUGCAAUGAAUACAUCAAUGUGAUGACACAUAUUCUAAGCAGUCUGGUGUUUAAGAGCAUGUUGUAUAGCAUCUGACAUCUUUUAUCUUGAAAUGUGCUCCCAGAAUAAGUGGCAUGAAAAUUGCCAACCAAGCAGAGAAAUGGCCUAAAGAAACAAGUGUCCUCUUAAAAAAAAUUCUAUGCGAUCAUCUACAAGUCAAUUAUUAACUGCAGAAGAAAGUAUAUCAGUGGAAACCCUGUUUCAGGACUCAGAAAUCUGUAUUUAUUCCUAAAAACAAUGGAUAGGAAGGUAAAGUAGGUUUUUCCUUCUGGCAUUUAAGAUCUAGAAUUUGGAAUGUUUCAGGAUUGCAUGGAACACGAAGUCUUGUUAUGAGAAGAAUAUUUUUAAAAGAAUGAGGAAAAAGGAAGCAAAGAUGACCACUCUAUUAGAAAGGUGGGGUUGUUGAAAGGGGACUUAAUAAGUUGUUAUUUGAGAACUUAUCCAUCUUUAGACAAUUACCUGUCUGUGUUAUGCCUGGCCUGGAAUAUUGCUCAAUGUUAAUUGCACGAGUGGCACUCUGUGGAGAGCCAAAUGGAAGUUUUUAAUAAAAAUGUCUUGUGACUUGA